AGUCGAGCGGACUGCAGGGUGCCAGGGCCAAGGAGAGUGGGCGGUGGAGCUCUCUCCCUGGCAGCCAAAGCCCUGUUGCUGCGACCUGCAGUUUCGGGAAGCCGUGCCCAAGCCAGGCGGAGGACGCAAAACCGCCUAACUGCUGUCCUCGGGCGCAGCACUCCUGAUACGGCUGGAAGCUGAAUCGCAGCAUUUCACAAGCAGGGCUGGACACUCUGAUCUAGGAGUCGUCAGAGGACAUGACUUCAUGGAUGUCUCUGGACCCAGGGGAGAGGAAAAAGAUCUUGGAGGGGUGAUAAAAUGCAUCAUCAGUGUUUGUCUGAUCAAAAAGCAAGCUCUAGGUUUUCCUGACCUGCACCUUUAAGAACUGCAAGCACAGUUGGAGUUCAGAUGACUGGCUCAACAAUGUCUAGGAGCUCCUUAAAGAUAGUCACUAAUUAACGAACACGAAGCCCCGGUUUGUGAGACAUUGAAACAACGCAGAACAAGGCUCUCU